rnacentral:rRNA from 1 species
GUGGCGCACGGGUGCGUAACGCGUGGGAAUCUGCCCUUGGGUUCGGAAUAACAGUGAGAAAUUACUGCUAAUACCGGAUGAUGUCUUCGGACCAAAGAUUUAUCGCCCAAGGAUGAGCCCGCGUAGGAUUAGCUAGUUGGUGGGGUAAUGGCCUACCAAGGCGACGAUCCUUAGCUGGUCUGAGAGGAUGAUCAGCCACACUGGGACUGAGACACGGCCCAGACUCCUACGGGAGGCAGCAGUGGGGAAUAUUGGACAAUGGGCGAAAGCCUGAUCCAGCAAUGCCGCGUGAGUGAUGAAGGCCUUAGGGUUGUAAAGCUCUUUUACCCGGGAUGAUAAUGACAGUACCGGGAGAAUAAGCUCCGGCUAACUCCGUGCCAGCAGCCGCGGUAAUACGGAGGGAGCUAGCGUUGUUCGGAAUUACUGGGCGUAAAGCGCGCGUAGGCGGUUACUCAAGUCAGAGGUGAAAGCCCGGGGCUCAACCCCGGAACUGCCUUUGAAACUAGGUGACUAGAAUCUUGGAGAGGUCAGUGGAAUUCCGAGUGUAGAGGUGAAAUUCGUAGAUAUUCGGAAGAACACCAGUGGCGAAGGCGACUGA